UACAGAGGUCUCAAGCGUUGUUCGGAUUCAUUGGGCGUAAAGGGCGCGUAGGCGGCGCGGUAAGUCACUUGUGAAAUCUCUGAGCUUAACUCAGAACGGCCAAGUGAUACUGCAGUGCUUGAGUGUGGAAGGGGCAAUCGGAAUUCUUGGUGUAGCGGUGAAAUGCGUAGAUAUCAAGAGGAACACCUGAGGUGAAGACGGGUUGCUGGGCCAACACUGACGCUGAUGCGCGAAAGCCAGGGGAGCAAACGGG
rnacentral:rRNA from 1 species